rnacentral:rRNA from 1 species
AGUGAACGCUGGCGGUAGGCCUAACACAUGCAAGUCGAACGGCAGCACAGUGAGAGUUUGCUCUUACGGGUGGCGAGUGGCGGACGGGUGAGGAAUACAUCGGACUCUACUUUUUCGUGGGGGAUAACGUAGGGAAACUUACGCUAAUACAGCAUACGACCUACGGGUGAAAGCAGGGGAUCUUCGGACCUUGCGCGAUUGAAUGAGCCGAUGUCGGAUUAGCUAGUUGGCGGGGUAAUGGCCCACCAAGGCGCCGAUCCGUAGCUGGACGGAGAGGAGGAUCGGCCACACGGGAACGGAGACACGGUCCAUGGGCCUGCGAGAGGGAGCAGUGGGGAAUGGUGGACAAUGGGGGCAAGCCUGGCCCAGCCAGACCGCGUGGGAUGAAGAGGCCUUCGGUGUGUGAAGCCGUUUUGUGGGGUGAGAAAAGCAUCAGGUUGUGACGCCGCGGGUCUGACGGUACCCAAAGAAGAAGCACCGGCUAACUUCGUG